rnacentral:sRNA from 1 species
ACACCUUCUAUUUUUGUUGUCUACAAUCCAUUCAGGUCUAU